AAAAAGUAAAUAAAAUAAAUACAGGAGGAAGAUUUAUUUGACGUUCUCUAAAUUCUUUGUAAAACUUGGAAGAACGCAGGCAGCAAAUUGCGAUAAAAUGGAGAGAGAUAAAAUAGAGAAGUGAAAUGUAGUUGGAGGAAGACAAGAUCAUGCUCAUUGUACCUCCUCAGAACCCACUUCCAAUAGAAAAUAUAAAGGAGAUAUGUUUGUCCCACAUCUGCAGAAUAAAUUGUAACAGUAGAAGUGCAACAUGCUAUUCAGAUGGACAAUGAGCACCAGUGAAAUAAAAAAAUCAAAAUUG
rnacentral:lncRNA from 1 species